rnacentral:rRNA from 1 species
UACGUAGGUGGCAAGCGUUGUCCGGAUUUACUGGGCGUAAAGAGCGCGCAGGCGGUCGUUCAAGUCGCGUGUGAAAGCCCCCGGCUCAACUGGGGAGGGUCACGCGAUACUGAUCGACUCGAAGGCAGGAGAGGGAAGUGGAAUUCCCGGUGUAGUGGUGGAAUGCGUAGAGAUCCGGAGGAACACCAGCGGCGAAGGCGGCGAACUGGACAGUAACUGACACUCAACUGCGAAAGCGUGGGGAGCAAACAGG